rnacentral:rRNA from 1 species
AUUGAACGCUGGCGGCAUGCUUUACACAUGCAAGUCGAACGGCAGCGCGGGCUUCGGCCUGGCGGCGCGUGGCGAACGGGUGAGUAAUGCAUCGGAACGUGCCCAGUAGUGGGGGAUAGCCCGGCGAAAGCCGGAUUAAUACCGCAUACGACCUGAGGGUGAAAGCGGGGGACCGAAAGGCCUCGCGCUAUUUGAUCGGCCGAUGUCGGAUUAGCUAGUUGGUGGGGUAAAGGCUUACCAAGGCGACGAUCCGUAGCUGGUCUGAGAGGACGACCAGCCACACUGGGACUGAGACACGGCCCAGACUCCUACGGGAGGCAGCAGUGGGGAAUUUUGGACAAUGGGGGCAACCCUGAUCCAGCCAUGCCGCGUGAGGGAAGAAGGCCUUCGGGUUGUAAACCGCUUUUGUUCGGGAAGAAAUCCUCUGGGCUAAUACCCCGGGGGGAUGACGGUACCGGAAGAAUAAGCACCGGCUAACUACGUG